GACGAACGCUGGCGGCGUGCUUAACACAUGCAAGUCGAACGGAAAGGCCCUGCUUUUGUGGGGUGCUCGAGUGGCGAACGGGUGAGUAACACGUGAGUAACCUGCCCUUGACUUUGGGAUAACUUCAGGAAACUGGGGCUAAUACCGGAUAGGAGCUCCUGCUGCAUGGUGGGGGUUGGAAAGUUUCGGCGGUUGGGGAUGGACUCGCGGCUUAUCAGCUUGUUGGUGGGGUAGUGGCUUACCAAGGCUUUGAAGGGUAGCCGGCCUGAGAGGGUGACCGGCCACAUUGGGACUGAGAUACGGCCCAGACUCCUACGGGAGGCAGCAGUGGGGAAUAUUGCACAAUGGGCGGAAGCCUGAUGCAGCAGCGCCGCGUGCGGGAUGACGGCCUUCGGGUUGUAAACCGCUUUCGCCUGUGACGAAGCGUGAGUGACGGUAAUGGGUAAAGAAGCACCGGCUAACUACGUG
rnacentral:rRNA from 1 species